rnacentral:rRNA from 1 species
GAUGAACGCUGGCGGCGUGCCUAAUACAUGCAAGUCGAGCGAACGGACGGGAAGCUUGCUUCUCUGAUGUCAGCGGCGGACGGGUGAGUAACACGUGGAUAACCUACCUAUAAGACUGGGAUAACUUCGGGAAACCGGAGCUAAUACCGGAUAAUAUUUUGAACCGCAUGGUUCAAAAGUGAAAGACGGUCUUGCUGUCACUUAUAGAUGGAUCCGCGCUGCAUUAGCUAGUUGGUAAGGUAACGGCUUACCAAGGCAACGAUGCAUAGCCGACCUGAGAGGGUGAUCGGCCACACUGGAACUGAGACACGGUCCAGACUCCUACGGGAGGCAGCAGUAGGGAAUCUUCCGCAAUGGGCGAAAGCCUGACGGAGCAACGCCGCGUGAGUGAUGAAGGUCUUCGGAUCGUAAAACUCUGUUAUUAGGGAAGAACAUAUGUGUAAGUAACUGUGCACAUCUUGACGGUACCUAAUCAGAAAGCCACGGCUAACUACGUG